rnacentral:lncRNA from 1 species
UUUAAUAAGAGUGGUGGGAAAUUUUAUUUUUUAAAUUAUUAACUUUUUAGCACACAUAUCCCACAAUUUGUAUAAUGACAAGUGGUGUACCACUUGGUGUAUCGGUCACACUGAAAAAUAUCUCCUGUUGUUAACGGCAUUUAAGUAGCAAUUAAAUUGAAAAGGAUAAAAAAAAAUUGGGUAAUUAGUUAUAUCUACAUAUUGAAAAGUAAAUGCCAAAUGGUUUACAAGCCAAGGGCACCAAGGGGCGUCUUUCCUUGCCCAGCUUCAAAGUAGAAAAUGAGCAUAGCCACCAUAGCAAGCCUUGCAUGCUUAAUCUCAGCCAGUUUCAGUCUCUCCAACUUUUCGCUGUCUGGAACGUAAACCCCGUCCUGGAUGGAGCCGGCGAAGCCCAAGGGGUCGAAGAACUUGCCACCCGGGUAGCCUUGCUCUCCGGUGGAGUUGGCGAAGUUCUCCGAGGUCUUGGACCAAGGUGUGGCCCACUCGACGGACUGGGACUCAGGGUUGUAGAAGUCCACCCAUCUCUUGCUUUCCACCCAUCCCAUGAGCAAGAGCUGAGUGCCGAGCAGUGAGCCGAAGGAGAAGGGUGAGAUAGCACUGGGGUCAGCUCCGGCUUCGAACCAUGGGAUACCACUCCAGGCCUGGCCAACAAAGAUACCAACGACUGCCGCCAUUGCCCACCGGCCGUGGAUGAGCUCCGCCUCUCUGUACCACUUGAGGAACGCCGGGUCCUUGCCUAGUCCUAGUGGAUCAAAACCGUAGUCACCUGGAAGCCUGCACGCGUAUAUCAGAUCAGAUUCAUACAUAUAUCUGUGACAAACUUAGAAUUAUAAUGUGGUUGAUAAUAUAUGAAACUCACGAGCCAUCGAGCCACUCGGGGUCGAUGAAGUUGCCGCCGCCUUUAACCGCCGGGAUCCAAGACUUCUUUGCCGCAGCAG